rnacentral:misc_RNA from 1 species
GAAACGCGAUAGUUAAUGUGAAUUGCAGAAUUCAGUGAAUCAUCGAAUCUUUGAACGCACCUUGCGCUCCUUGGUAUUCCUUGGAGCAUGCCUGUUUGAGUAUCAUGAAAUCUUCAAAGUAAAUCUUUUGUUAACUCAAUUGGUUUCUACUUUGGUAUUGGAGGUCUUUGCAGCUUCACACCUGCUCCUCUUUGUUCAUUAGCUGGAUCUCAGUGUUAUGCUUGGUUCCACUCGGCGUGAUAAGUUAUCUAUCGCUGAGGACACUGUAAAAGGUGGCCAAGGUAAAUGCAGAUGAACCGCUUCUAAUAGUCCAUUGACUUGGACAAUACUUUUAUGAUCUGAUCUCAAAUCAGGUAGGACUACCCGCUGAACUUAAGC